GAUCAACCGAGUUGAAUUUAUUCACUGUAAAUCAUUUCUACAUAGGGAUAUAAAGCCAGACAACUUCCUUAUGAGUUUAGGGAGGCGUGCUAAUCAGGUCUAUGCUAUUGAUUUCGGGCUAGCCAAGAAAUAUAGAGACUCUUCAACUCAUCGGCACAUUCCAUAUAGAGAGAACAAGAAUUUGACAGGGACAGCUAGAUAUGCAAGCAUGAACCCAAGCCUGAUGGAACAUAAGAG